UACAGGGGGGGCGAGCGUUGUUCGGAAUUACUGGGCGUAAAGGGUUUGUAGGUGGCUUGCUCAGUCAGACGUGAAAUCCCUCAGCUUAACUGGGGAACUGCGUCUGAUACUAGCGAGCUUGAGUGCAGGAGAGGAACGCGGAAUUCCAGGUGUAGCGGUGAAAUGCGUAGAUAUCAGGAGGAACACCUGCGGUGUAGACGGCUUUCUGGACCAUUGUUGACGCUGAGACACGAAAGCGUGGGUAGCAAACAGG
rnacentral:rRNA from 1 species